rnacentral:rRNA from 1 species
UACGUAGGGGGCGAGCGUUACCCGGAAUCACUGGGCGUAAAGGGUGCGUAGGCGGCCGCGUGUGUCUGGCGUGAAAUACCACGGCUCAACCGUGGGAAUGCGCUGGAAACUACGUGGCUUGGGUGCGGCAGAGGCAGACGGAACUGCUGGUGUAGGGGUGAAAUCCGUAGAUAUCAGCAGGAACGCCGGUGGAGAAGUCGGUCUGCUGGGCCGUAACCGACGCUGAGGCACGAAAGCUAGGGGAGCGAACCGG